rnacentral:lncRNA from 1 species
GGAAGAAGCAGGAUCCUGUCAGAAACUCCUAGCUGAGUCUUGCCUCUCUAUCAUAAGGCAGAGAUGGGUCUUACCAGAUUUUCAGGCUGAUCCAAUGAAAGAGAUGGAAAAAUCCUACGACCUGUCAGUUUACAAUCAGGCAGCCUCCAGGUGCCAGAGCUUGGGAAUACAAACGCUAUGAAGAGCGCAGAUUUGUUUGAGAAGAUCUAACACAGGAAAAGAGAAUGAAAUUGAGAGGCAGAAUAUCAGAGAAAUGUUUCACAGAAGUGAAGACUACAGAAUAUGACUAGGGAAACGGCAGAAAUGAUCUUACGAGUGGGGCAGUAACAAUGAACCAACUCAUGCACACUGCCCUGUAAAGGAGGAGGAGCUUGCUAACCUACCCAGUAGGGAAAUUGUACAUCAAUUAGUUGAUUUCAGUCUAAGGAAAGAUCCAAGUGUGCUGCCCAAAGAUGGACAUUUUCACUAAUUUAUGCCAGAGGAAGCACUCCUGGAGGAAGUGUAAGAAAACAAAGUUGCCUGGAAGAGACCUUUCCUGAAGUACUGAUUUUGGUUCACACUCUGUGAUGUGACAAAACCACGUUCCUACGACUUUCAGGUGGUUGUACCCGUGCUGGCAAACUUCAUUUCUGACAAGCUGUUGGUAGUUGCUGGUGCUAGGAUUUGUGGCUGGUGUAUGCCAAAGGAUAGAGUAUACCCUUGGAGUAGAAAUGUUGAGUCACAGCCUGAACCAGUGAUUGAACACCUGGUGGAAGGCAGAGCCAACCCAGGAGAGCUCAGGUGCAAAUGAUUGGAAGAGCUGGAGCCAGGAUCCAACCCUUCCAACACCACAUUUAAGGGUUGGCGGUGGAGCUGAGCGUAUCUUGCUGGACAUCCCCGCUUAUCUGAGGUCUUCUGAAGGUAAGUAGCUUCUUUUCUUUAUUUCUGUUGUGGUUGUGUUUGAGCAAAUCUUCACUUGUUGUAGCUUGGGAUCUUGCUGCUAUGCUGUCAUAGCUGUGCUUUCCACUGUGUUACAGCCCUAAAUUGUGCUCUAAGUCUGUGAUAGUUCUAUGGGCUCCUUCCAGAUCUUAUUUAAAAACAAAU